ensembl:lncRNA
CUCUUUCUACCUUUCUAUUAUCUGUGAUAUCCAUUCAUCUCUCUCUGUCUCUCUCUCUCUCUCUCUUAUUUAUCUAAUCUGUCUGUCAUCUCUGCAUCCACCCAACAGUCUGUCUGUCUACACAUCACACACGAAGUGAAAGAACGUGCUUGGGAAUGGUCAACGCCUGAAGCAGGAGAGGGGACCUCAGGAGAGGAUCCUGGAGGAGCGCGCAUGGACUUCUGCCGGUCUGUUUAAGCUCUUGGCCUUCACAGAGAGCCAGGCACCCUGAAUGCAGAGCAUUCUACCCACGGGACCAGAUGGUGACAGGGGAGGAAAGGCUGUCACAGGGCCUUGCAGUCAGGUGGACAAAUAGCAGCUGUGGACACAAACAUCUUCUGAAGUGGUCCUGCCGAGAUUGACAUCUUGUUGGCAGGAGAAUGGCACCUUACCAAGUAAGAAUGAGGACUGCAAGAGGAGGGGGCACAAGAAGCCUGAGAGGAAGAAAAGCAGUGAGACACCUUCAGUCUUCCAGCCAGGGCUGCCCAUCCUGGAAAAGAAGACUUUCUAAUUUACUUUCCCACUUCUUCCUGAGGAUACUCUUGUUGGCUGGUCUGACAUCCUGUGCCAAGAGUCUAACCGACAGAGUGGGGCUCGGGAGACCCCACGUUUGCCUGCCCAAGCACUUUCCCUUGCUGCGAAUGGGUGGCCCUGCUCUUCUGCAUGCCGAGUUGUGUUACUGAUGACACAGAACAGUUAAGGGCAUGCACUGUGAGGUCAGACGGACUCGUUUCUCAUCCUGGCCUGGGCUCUGUGACUAUAACCAAGUGACUCCUGAGGUUGGCUUUCUCAACCAUCUGAUCAUGUAAUAGCCUUUCUUAACCAUCUGGUUAUGUAAUAGCACUGCCUUUCACGGGGUCCUGUGAGGACUGAGGGAGGUAACCUGCAUAGCGCAUCUGGUGUGAGCACACCCUCAACAAAUUGGAGCUGUUCUAAUGAAGCUCAGGAUGCUAUGUGUUAUUUCCUAAGAAAAAAAUUGCAUGGAUGGCAAGUAAGGAUAGUGUCAGACCCAGGUAGAUCUCAAGAAGAGUCUGAAAAAUUGGGCAAUGUUCUGUUCCUGAUUAGAUGUGGGCCACAGCCUCAGGUAAAGACAUUUUCUCUGUCCCUUCUUGGAGAAUAGUGUAUGAUGAUUUGCCAGAAUCUGAUAACAGGGAUACUUUGGAAGUUCUUGGAGCGUUAUGUUUAAGUGUAUGGGGUUUCAGUAUCACUCUUUAAACAAUGUCAAGUUAAAGGACCAAAGCUCGUUUCUGUUCUGGAAAGGGGAAAAGGAACAAGAAACCACUGAUUCAUCAGUUAUUGAAUGAUAGGCCUAUGUGUGUUUAUACUCUGAAUCUUGAAGCAAAAUGUUGAAAGAAAUCUCAUAUCAUUCAUUAUUUACAAACAGAAAAGGUAUUUGGCCCUGAAGGAUCCCUCUUUGUAGAUUUCCCCCGUCUCUAGAGACUGCAGGGGAAGCAGAGUGAAAUCCACACUCGCAUGGGCUGGCCUGUGUGCUCUACUCCUUGGCUCAGUUUAGGGUCAGAAUGAGUACUCAGAAUUUUUGAGAUUCCAAACAUUGAUCAUGUGGGCAUAUUCAAAUUGAUCAGUUUGUUUCAGUCUACUUAUCAUGAAUAAAUAAUGAGAAAAUAUUUAAACAAAAUGUGAGAUUCUUUUGUCAGAUAUUUACUGAGUGCUACUGAGUGAAAAUUAAAGGCACUAAUUAGACAUUGUUUGGACUUCAAGAACUGUACAGUCACCGUAAGGGUGAGGUGCAUGAGUUGAAGACAUUUUAAGAAAUAUACACAUGAAGACAUUUAAGAAAUGUACACAGGAAAGUGUAUAUUUCAAUUCAGUGUAGUAGAGAAAGAACACAAACACAUGCAUGACAUUUCAGGGGCAGAGGGAUGGCAUUUUCAGGAUGGGAGCAAAGAGCAUUUCACGGAGCACGCAUUGGAUUUGAGCUUGCCCUUGAGGAUCUGGACAAGAGAAAAAGGUAAGUUGCAUGGCAGCAACGGGGAGGGAUGUGGCACAGUCUGGGAGUGAAGAGCUGCCCAUUUGGCUGCAGGGCAGGCAGGAAAAGUGGGUGAGAGAGGGUUUUGCUGGCAAUAGUGAGUUUGGCUUUCAGGCUAAGGAAUUUAGAGUCUAUUUGUCAAACCAUGAGGAACAACACCAACUUUUUGCAUGUGAAAGUGUUAGGCCUGGAAAUAUUCCAGGUAACUGUUACAGCAGUGGUGCUCCAUGAAUGGAAGGGACCUGUGUUGGUCUGCUCAGGCUGCCUAACAAAAUAUAGCAGGCUGGGUGCUUAAAGGCAGACAUGUAUUUUGUCACAGUUCUAGAGGCUGGAUGUCCAAGAGCAAGGUGCUAGCAGGUCUGGUGAGAGCUCCCUUUGUGUCCUUUCUCGCUGUAUGUCACAUGACCUUUCCUCCAUACAGAGAGCAGAGAGGGAGUGAGCCCUCAGGCAUCUUUUCCUAUAGGACACUACUCCUAUGAGAUUAGGACCCCACUCUUAUGACCUCAUUUUACCUUAACUACUUCGUUAGUGGCCCCACUCCAAAUGCAGCCACACUGGGGGUUAGGACCUUAGCAUAUGAAUUCUGGGGGAUACAACAUGCAGUCCCUAACAGGGUCUAAGGUCUAAGGCUGAAAACAGGGAAAUCACUCAGUGAGGGGCUGUGAUGGUCCGAGAAGAAUGAAUGAGAUUGGAUGGGGGCAUGGCAGGGAGGUGAGGGUAAGUCUGGAGGGACAACUCUGUGCAGGGCCAUCUACUCCUGCACUUGCAGUGGGCACCUCUUUCUGGUCUUCACACUUCUAAUGUCCUGUGCCACUUCAGGUCUCUUAAUCUGGGGGGCCAACUAUGUGGUGUGUGCAGGAGAGGAGAGAACUAGAAGAGUGUUCCACUUCUCAUGCUGUAUUGAGAGUGGCAGAGGAUGGAGACAGGGCUGAGCAGUUUAUUUCUAAAGUUUUGUUUUGCUUUGCUUUGGACAUAGGACCUCUCUGCCUACGGAGAGCUGUCUAGAGCUGCUACAUCAUCACACAUGCAAGCCGUCCUCACAACAGGGGCAGCAAACUGUUUCUGUAAAAGGUCAGAUGGUAAAUAUUUCAGGCUUUGUGAGCCAAGAGGCAAUAUUGAAGACAUAAUGUAGGUAGGUACUUAGGUAACAAGAGAGAAAACAAAUCCCUACAAAUUUUUUGUUGACAAAAUUCAAAACAUAAUAAUUGUGUACAGUGUUUUGUAAUAUAGGUCUCCUAAUGAGAAGAAUGGAAUUCUUUAUGGGAGAAAUAAUAUUUCACUUAGAGUUCAAAGUUUGUGUUCUCUGUCAUCAAAAUCAAAGACAAAUGUUCAUCUCUUAAUGCUGAUCUGGAAGGAGAUAUUACAUAUUUCACCUUUGGAAAAUGCUGUUUCACACAACUAGCUGCUGCCAAUACUGACAUUAACUCAUGAGCAUGUGAUUUUAACUGAGGAUAUCAUCACUUGGAAGGCACAUCUAGAAUUUGAUGAGAUUCUUCUCUUGAUAGGUGCUUUUAGUAUGUCAUGAUACUCCAGAUUUAAUAGUUCCUAUUGAAGGUUAAGUGGAGGCUCUUCAACUGCACAGUUUAAUUGAUUUUUCAAAAAGAAAAUUAUUGAAUGAAUAUUUUCAACAUCAUACAAAAAAUUAAUAGUCUAAUAAUCCACAUGUAGCUACAUUCUAGAAUUAUCUAGAUUUUGUCAUGUUCACUUCACCUGUCAUUUCCUCUUCUAUUUCUUUUUCCUUUUCUCUUAAAAACAUUUGGGAGGCUGAGUGUGGUGGUUCACGCCUAUAAUCCCAGCACUUUGGGAGGCUGAGGUGGGAGGAUCACUUGAGGUCAGGAGUUCGAGACCAGCCUGGCCAACAUGGCGAAACUCCCUCUCUACUAAAAAUACAAAAAUUAGCUGGGCGUGGUGGCAGGUGCCUGUAAUCUCAGCUAUUUGGGAGGGUGAGGCAGGAGAACUGCUUGAACCUGGGAGGUGGAGGUUGCAGUGAGCCGAGAUCAUGCCACAGAAUUCCAGUCUGGGUGACAGAGGGAGGCUCUGUCUCAAAACAAACAAACAAAACAAACAAACAAACAAAACAAACAAAAAAGCAUUUUGGAGCAAAUCUCAGAUAUUAAAUCGCUUUAAUUUCUACGUAAUUCAGUGUUCAUCUCUAAAAAAUAUGGACUUUGUAUGACUAUUCUUAUAAACCAGAAAAAAUCUAAAUACUUUAUUUAGAAAAUUUAAUAUUUUUCUCUUGAUGUCCAGCAGUGUAGGACUUGAGAGCAAGAUCAAAUCAGUUACCAAAAAAAAAAAAAAAAAAAAAAGAAAAAAAAAUGUGGCACUCUUUUCUUUGCACAUCUGAAUGUGGAAAUGAUCUAUCCCAUUACCUUUAUAUGUCUUUUUAAAACAUAGCUUUUUAUUAUGAAAUAAUUAUAGGUUCACAGGAAGUUGCAUGGAAGUGUACAGGGAGGUCCAGAGUACCCUUCACCCAGCUUCCCCCCAUGUUAUUAUUUUGUGUAAAUAUGCUACAAUAUCAGCCAGGAAAUUGAUGUUGGUUCCAUCCAUGGAACUUAUUGGGAUUUCACUAGCUAUAGUAUUGGUGGAUAUGUGUGUGUAGUUCUAUGCAAUUUUAUCACAUGUGUAACUUCAUGCUUCAUGUAACCAUGACUGCAAUCAAGAUACCAUCACUACAAGGUUCUCUCAUGUUACCUGUUUAUAGCCACACCUAUGCUUCCAUCUCUAUCCAUAACCAAUAACCUAUUCCCCAUCUCUAUAACUGGAUUAUUUCACAAACAUUAUAUAAAUAGAAUCAUGCAGUAUUUAUACUUUUGAGAUCAGCUUUCCUUGAGGUUCAUAAAAAUUGUUGUGAG